rnacentral:miRNA from 1 species
UCACAUUCAGAUCUGGCAUGACU